GCCGGGCGCGGUAGCAUGUGCCUGUAGUCCCAGCUGCUCGGGAGGCUGAGGUGGGAGGAUUGCUUGAGGCCAGGAGUUCUGGGCUGUAGUGCGAUAUGCCGAUCGGGUGUCCAUACUAAGUUCAGCAUCAAUGUGGUGACCUCCCGGAGCGGGGGACCACAGGUUGCCUAAGGAUGGGCAAACUGGCCCAAGGUCAGAAAUGGAGCAAGUCAAAACUCCCAUGCUGAUCAGUAGUGGGAUCGCGCCUGUGAAUAGCCACUGCACUCCAGCCUGGGCAACCUAGCGAGACCCCGUCUCU
rnacentral:SRP_RNA from 1 species